rnacentral:rRNA from 1 species
CUCUUCGGGGAUGAUUAAACCGGCGCACGGGUGAGUAACACGUGAGUGACCUGCCUUUUAGACUGGAACAACUUACCGAAAGGUGAGCUAAUGCCGGAUGAGUUAUAUAAGUGCAUGUUUAUAUAGGAAAAGUUGGGGAGACCUGACGCUGAAAGAUGGACUCGCGUCCCAUUAGCUAGUUGGUAGGGUAAUGGCCUACCAAGGCGACGAUGGGUAGCCGGCCUGAGAGGGUGGCCGGCCACACUGGGACUGAGACACGGCCCAGACUCCUACGGGAGGCAGCAGUGGGGAAUUUUGCGCAAUGCUCGUAAGAGUGACGCAGCGACGCCGCGUGAAUGACGAAGGCCUUCGGGUCGUAAAGUUCUUUCGACAGGGAAGAAAAUGCCUAUAAGUAACUGUGUAUGUAUUGACGGUACCUGUAUAAGCAGCCCCGGCUAACUCCGUGCCAGCAGCCGCGGUAAUACGGAGGGGGCGAGCGUUGUUCGGAGUGACUGGGCGUAAAGAGCACGUAGGCGGUGUUGUAAGUCAUUAGUCAAAGACUAGAGCUCAACUUUAGUAAGGCUAGUGAUACUAUAAUACUAGAGUAUCAGAGAGGAUUGCAGAAUUCCUGGUGUAGCGGUGAAAUGCGUAGAUAUCAGGAGGAAUACCGUUAGCGAAGGCGGCAAUCUGGCUGGAAACUGACGCUGAGGUGCGAAAGCGUGGGUAGCAAACAGGAUUAGAUACCCUGGUAGUCCACGCUGUAAACGAUGGAUGCUAGGUGUUGGGCUUUUAAGUUCAGUGCCGCAGCNAACGCGAUAAGCAUCCCGCC